UACAGAGGGUGCGAGCGUUGUCCGGAAUCACUGGGCGUAAAGGGCGCGUAGGUGGCGAGCCAAGUCCAUGGUGAAAGCUCGAUGCUCAACAUCGAGUCGGCCACGGAUACUGGUGCGCUUGAGCACUGUAGAGGCUAAUGGAAUUCCGGGUGUAGCGGUGGAAUGCGUAGAGAUCCGGAGGAAGACCGGUGGCGAAGGCGGCCUGCUGGGCAGUUACUGACACUGAUGCGCGACAGCGUGGGGAGCAACAGG
rnacentral:rRNA from 1 species